AUUGAACGCCGGCGGCAGGCCUAACACAUGCAAGUCGAGCGGAUGAAGGGAGCUUGCUCCUGGAUUCAGCGGCGGACGGGUGAGUAAUGCCUAGGAAUCUGCCUGGUAGUGGGGGAUAACGUCCGGAAACGGGCGCUAAUACCGCAUACGUCCUGAGGGAGAAAGUGGGGGAUCUUCGGACCUCACGCUAUCAGAUGAGCCUAGGUCGGAUUAGCUAGUUGGUGGGGUAAAGGCCUACCAAGGCGACGAUCCGUAACUGGUCUGAGAGGAUGAUCAGUCACACUGGAACUGAGACACGGUCCAGACUCCUACGGGAGGCAGCAGUGGGGAAUAUUGGACAAUGGGCGAAAGCCUGAUCCAGCCAUGCCGCGUGUGUGAAGAAGGUCUUCGGAUUGUAAAGCACUUUUAGUUGGGAGGAAGGGCAGUAAGUUAAUACCUUGCUGUUUUGACGUUACCAAAAGAAUAAGCACCGGCUAACUUCGUG
rnacentral:rRNA from 1 species